rnacentral:tRNA from 1 species
UCCUAGUGGCUCAGACAGUAAAGAAUCUGUCUGCAAUGCAGGAGACCCAGGUUCAAUUCCUGGGUUGGGAA